rnacentral:rRNA from 1 species
UACAGAGGUCUCAAGCGUCGUUCGGAUUCAUUGGGCGUAAAGGGUGCGUAGGUGGCGCCGUAAGUCGGGUGUGAAAUUUCGGAGCUUAACUCCGAAACUGCAUUCGAUACUGCGGUGCUUGAGGACUGGAGAGGAGACUGGAAUUCAUGGUGUAGCAGUGAAAUGCGUAGAGAUCAUGAGGAAGACCAGUGGCGAAGGCGGGUCUCUGGACAGUUCCUGACACUGAGGCACGAAGGCCAGGGGAGCAAACGGG